UACGUAGGGUGCGAGCGUUAAUCGGAAUUACUGGGCGUAAAGCGUGCGCAGGCGGUUUUGUAAGCCAGAUGUGAAAGCCCCGGGCUCAACCUGGGAAUGGCAUUUGAUACUCGAGGGCUUGAGUACGGGAGAGGAGAGUGGAAUUCCCAGUGUAGAGGUGAAAUUCGUAGAUAUUGGGAAGAACACCGGUGGCGAAGGCGGCUCUCUGGACCGUAACUGACGCUGAGGCGCGAAAGCGUGGGGAGCAAACAGG
rnacentral:rRNA from 1 species